rnacentral:rRNA from 1 species
CCUACGGGAGGCAGCAGUAAGGAAUAUUGGUCAAUGGACGAAAGUCUGAACCAGCCAUGCCGCGUGGAGGAUGAAGGUCCUCUGGAUUGUAAACUUCUUUUAUCUGGGACGAAAAAAGGGAAUUCUUUCUCGUCUGACGGUACCAGAUGAAUAAGCACCGGCUAACUCCGUGCCAGCAGCCGCGGUAAU